AUGCCUCCCCGUCGCCGCCUCCUCCUCCCCCUCCUCCUGGCCCUCGCCUUCUCCGGCGGGGCCGCCGCCGCCGACACCGCCCCCGGGAACGCCACCUCGUCGCCGCUCGCCUGCUCCGAGCUGUCCCGCGUCUGCACGGCAUUCCUCGCCUUCCCGGUGGCCGGCAACGCCAGCGUGCUCCAGUCCAUGUUCGACGCCUCGCCCGCCGACCUCACCUCCGACCCCGCCGCCAGCCCGGGCUACGCCUUCGUGCGCAAGAACUGCUCGUGCCUCGCCUCCCGCACUUACCUCGCCAACACCACCUACACCGUCCCCUCCGCAGUGCCCCUCAACGCUACCGCGGCCCAAGUGGCGACCGCGGCGUACGCUGGCCUCGCCGUUCCGCCGCCGGGCGGGGCGCUUCAGCGGCCGCCGCGCCCCGGCGCCGUGGUGGCGCUCCACCUAAUCUGCGGCUGCUCGUCCGGCCCCUGGAACUACCUUCUCAGCUACGUUGGCGCCGACGGCGACACUGUGGAAUCGCUGUCGAGUAGGUUUGGGGCAAGCAUGGACGCCAUUGAGGCCGCCAACGGCGUGCCCGGCCCCGACCCCAUCACCACGGGGAAGGUGUACUACAUCCCACUCAACUCGGUUCCUGGCCAGCCUUAUGCUGCAAUGUCUUCUGCCCCUGUUCCUGCACCAACACCCACUCAAAAUACUUUGCCAGAAACAUCAGAUCAUCAUUCAGCGAAAUUCCCUUAUGGAUGGGUUAUUGGGGGCAUGGGAGUUGCACUUGCUUUGAUUGCUAUUGCUCUCCUUGCACUUCUGAUGUGCAAAUCCUUCCACUACAAUCACCAAGGUUCAAAUAACCAGAGAAAGAGUCCAAACCAACCUAUGCCUCAUAAUUUUCAACUACUUAAGAGUGGUAGUUUUUGUUAUGGUUCUGGAAGAUAUUUCUGCUGCCAAUUUGGCAAUGAGAAGCAAUCAAGAAAGGGUGGUGGGGAUCAUCAUAUCAAUGUUCCAAAAGGUAUGGUAGUAGACGUGUUUGACAGGGAAAAGCCUAUUGUGUUUACAUAUGAAGAAAUACUUGCAUCGACCGAUCUUUUUUCUGAUGCAAAUCUGCUGGGACAUGGUACAUAUGGCUCUGUCUACUAUGGGGUUCUUCGAGAUCAGGAGGUCGCGAUAAAGAGAAUGACAUCAACUAAUACUAAAGAAUUCAUAGUGGAGAUGAAAGUUCUUUGUAAGGUUCAUCAUGCUAGUCUGGUAGAGUUGAUUGGCUAUGCAGCAAGUAAGGACGAGCUGUUCCUGGUUUAUGAGUACUCUCAAAAAGGUUCACUCAAAAACCAUCUUCAUGAUCCUCAAAGCAAAGGUUACACACCACUUUCUUGGAUUUAUAGGGUCCAAAUUGCUCUUGAUGCUGCUAGAGGACUGGAGUACAUUCAUGAGCACACAAAAGAUCAUUAUGUUCAUAGAGACAUCAAAUCAAGUAACAUCUUGCUCGAUGGUUCUUUCAGAGCGAAGAUUUCAGAUUUUGGUCUUGCAAAACUGGGAGUAAGGUCCAAUGAUGCAGAGGCUUCUGUUACCAAAGUUGUGGGUACUUUUGGUUAUUUAGCCCCAGAAUACCUGCGGGACGGCCUGGCAACUGCGAAAUGCGAUGUUUAUGCUUUCGGGGUCGUACUUUUUGAGUUAAUAUCUGGAAAGGAAGCGAUUACAAAGGCCGACACAGUUGGUGCUAGUUCAAACUCUGAAAGGCGCUCCUUGGCAUCGGUUAUGUUGACCGCACUAAGGAAUUGCCAUGAUCCAACAUGUGUGGGGAGCUUGAAAGAUUGUAUUGACCCUAAUCUGAUGGAUCUGUAUCCUCAUGACUGCAUAUAUCAGAUGGCUAUGCUCGCGAAACAAUGCGCCGAUGAAGAUCCUGUUCUACGGCCGGACAUGAAGCAGGCAGUGAUCACCCUAUCGCAGAUACUGCUUUCGUCCAUCGAGUGGGAGGCGACGCUGGGUGGGAACAGCCAGGUGUUCAGUGGUCUUGUGGCCGGAAGGUGA
rnacentral:rRNA from 1 species